ACUCAAAUGAAUUGACGGGGACCCGCACAAGCAGUGGAGUAUGUGGUUUAAUUCGACGCAACGCGAAGAACCUUACCAGGACUUGACAUCCUCAGGAUCUGUAUGAAAGUACGGAGUGCCUUUCGGGGAAUUGAGAGACAGGUGGUGCAUGGUUGUCGUCAGCUCGUGUCGUGAGAUGUUGGGUUAAGUCCCGCAACGAGCGCAACCCUUGCCUUCAGUUACUACGUUAAGACGAGGACUCUGGAGGGACUGCCGUUGAUAAGGCGGAGGAAGGUGGGGACGACGUCAAAUCAUCAUGCCCUUUAUGUUCUGGGCUACACACGUACUACAAUGGGUGAAAACAGAGGGAAGCAAAGUCGCGAGGCGGAGCAAACCCCUAAAAGCACUCGUAGUUCGGAUUGCAGGCUGCAACUCGCCUGCAUGAAGUCGGAAUUGCUAGUAAUCGCGAAUCAUCAUGUCGCGGUGAAUACGUUCCCGGGUCUUGUACACACCGCCCGU
rnacentral:rRNA from 1 species